UCCUGUCUGGUCAAGAAAACGAUAUUGUGUGCAGCUGGCGGCGGAAAGGCAAAAUUAGAGUCGUACCUUGAGUCGACUAGCUACCAGCCCAUGUGUACCGAAUUCGGGGGCCAAAACUCGAUCCGUUUCGUCCCCUUCUUUUAGCACAGACCACCCAAUGCCACUGUAGUUGCACCGAAUCGUUUGUAGACGACUUACGUGCCAGCCGAGGUGUUGUACCUGGUAGAGCAGCUUCCACA
rnacentral:rRNA from 1 species